UAUGAGUUGUGAUUUUUAAUUUACUAAUUCAGUUCAACCACAAUACCAGAUGCAGUAAAAACAGGUCAAUGGAAUAUCGCACUCAUCGUAACCAUAAAAGAAAGAGUGAGCUUCAUACAGAAACACCAAAAGGUUGUGAAAACAUAAUAUCCAUUAUAAAUAUUCAGAUUCAGACUAAUUGUAUACGGUAGUACUAAGCAACUCAUGCUCUUACCAGUGUGCGGCUGUGUGCUCAUCAUAUAUCUUAUUGAGCAUCAAAGUUCAAUGCAUGACAGUUCUAUAUAUUGUUGUACGUGACAGUGUGACACUGGUCAUUUGCCCCUCAUAUAUAUAGAAAAAGUUCAUCAGGGGUUCUUUCCAUGUAUAAUUUUAGGUUUAUUUUUAGCAAGUAUACAAACACACCCCAGCACAUAGGCAUAUUUUUAGAUAAUGAUUCACAGAAGAAAUAAGAUAAUACAGUGACAUGGAACGAACAGUUAAAAAAGAGAAGGGAAAAUCUUACUUCAAAAAUAUUAAAACAGAUCAUAUAAACCAAAUCCAAA
rnacentral:misc_RNA from 1 species